rnacentral:rRNA from 1 species
CCCUUAGAUGUUCUGGGCUGCACACGCGCUACACUGAAGGGAUCAGCGUGUUCUUUUCCUGGUCCGAAAGGAUCGGGUAACCCGCUGAACCCCCUUCGUGGUAGGGAUCGGAGCUUGCAAUUAUUCUCCGUGAACCAGGAAUUCCCAGUAAGCGCAAGUCAUAAGCUUGCGUUGAUUACGUCCCUGCCCUUUGUACACACCGCCCGUCGCUACUACCGAUUGGACGUUUUAGUGAGGAUUUUGGACUGAGCCAAUGGUGGUUCACACCACUGUUGUGCAUGGAAAGAUCUCCAAACUUGAGCGUUUAGAGGAAGUAAAAGUCGUAACA